UACGUAGGGAGCAAGCGUUGUUCGGAUUUACUGGGCGUAAAGGGCGCGUAGGCGGCCCGCUAAGUCGAACGUGAAAUCCCCGAGCUCAACUCGGGAACUGCGUCCGAUACUGGCGGGCUUGAAUCCGGGAGAGGGAUGCGGAAUUCCAGGUGUAGCGGUGAAAUGCGUAGAUAUCUGGAGGAACACCGGUGGCGAAGGCGGCAUCCUGGACCGGCAUUGACGCUGAGGCGCGAAAGCUAGGGGAGCAAACGGG
rnacentral:rRNA from 1 species